rnacentral:tRNA from 1 species
AAACCAGUCAAAACAAUGACUACUUGAAUGGCAUUCAAGAGGUCAGGGGUUCGAUUCCCCUCAGCUCCA